rnacentral:rRNA from 1 species
AUUGAACGCUGGCGGCAGGCCUAACACAUGCAAGUCGAACGGUAACAGGAAGAAGCUUGCUUCUUUGCUGACGAGUGGCGGACGGGUGAGUAAUGUCUGGGAAACUGCCUGAUGGAGGGGGAUAACUACUGGAAACGGUAGCUAAUACCGCAUAACGUCGCAAGACCAAAGAGGGGGACCUUCGGGCCUCUUGCCAUCGGAUGUGCCCAGAUGGGAUUAGCUAGUAGGUGGGGUAACGGCUCACCUAGGCGACGAUCCCUAGCUGGUCUGAGAGGAUGACCAGCCACACUGGAACUGAGACGCGGUCCAGACUCCUACGGGAGGCAGCAGUGGGGAAUAUUGCACAAUGGGCGCAAGCCUGAUGCAGCCAUGCCGCGUGUAUGAAGAAGGCCUUCGGGUUGUAAAGUACUUUCAGCGGGGAGGAAGGGAGUAAAGUUAAUACCUUUACUCAUUGACGUUACCCGCAGAAGAAGCACCGGCUAACUCCGUG